rfam:Gossypium arboreum cultivar AKA8401 contig_18155_1, whole genome shotgun sequence.
UGUUAAAAAUUUCAUCCAUUUCUAAUGUUAAAAAUUGACAUAACUGACAGAAUAACCAGACAUUGACAUGUGACAUGCCACUCAUGUUGAUGCAUAGGGUUUGGUUUUUAAUAGUAGAAAUGAAUGAAAUUUUUACAA